AGAAUCAACGCUGGCGGCGUGCCUAACACAUGCAAGUCGAACGAGAAAGGGGUAGCAAUACCCUGAGUAAAGUGGCGCACGGGUGAGUAACACGUGACUAACCUACCCUUGAGUGGGGGAUAACUGAGGGAAAACCUUAGCUAAUACCGCAUAAUACCCACGGGUCAAAGGAGCAAUUCGCUCGAGGAGGGGGUCGCGGCCGAUUAGUUAGUUGGCGGGGUAAUGGCCCACCAAGACGAUGAUCGGUAUCCGGCCUGAGAGGGCGCACGGACACACUGGAACUGAAACACGGUCCAGACUCCUACGGGAGGCAGCAGUGGGGAAUUUUGCGCAAUGGGGGAAACCCUGACGCAGCAACGCCGCGUGGAGGAUGAAGUCCUUCGGGACGUAAACUCCUUUCGAUCGGGACGAUUAUGACGGUACCGGAAGAAGAAGCCCGGCUAACUUCGUGCCAGCAGCCGC
rnacentral:rRNA from 1 species